rnacentral:lncRNA from 1 species
CCAGUGUUUUGAUUUCCUGACCCAACUUCCCUCCACAUGAAAAACAGCCAACAGACCAGCCACACCAGGUACCACCGCAAAACAUGCAGAAGCGGCAGGCAGCGAGAAAGAGCUGGAGCCAGCACCACAGGGCAGGAGCAAGCCGGAGGAGCUCCUGGAAGAGUAAAAAGUGAGAGGUCAGCCCUGCGUCACCAUGGCAACCCACACAGCUCGGGCCAGGAGCAGAUGAACGGAGCUCUUUACGCCGUGUGAUCACCAGGAAAUGAGGAAAGACCCAUGGGUACCAGGCCCUGGGUUAGGUGCUGUACCGUCUUAUUGCCUCUGAUCCUCGCAGUGGUCUCAUGAGCCACAGAAUCGAAUACGACAUUGCAUCCCUCCCGUUAGCUCAUUAGCAAUGAAGGAUCUGAUCUUUACAAGAAAAAUUGGGAAAUUUCACCACAGAUGGGAAUGCCUUGAUUGCUUGGUGAGGCUGUGACUGCACAGUCAGCAACAGGUGCUGUUGCUUUUGUAGAACCCUGUGCUUCAAAAGACAAGCUGAGACUCCGAAAUGAAAGUUAAUGACAAAUCCAGCCAGAGUGAACAGAUGGAGUGACAAGUGACAGCCCAUCUUAUAUAUAUGAAUACCCAUUAGCAGGAUGUGCUGCAAUAUGCUGCUUGUCAUCUGUUUCAAAGACACAGUGAUAGGAUACAGCGGUCUGUUUUAGAGAAACAUCUGCGUAGUAGAGUUUUAUUGAGUGGCAUAAAGAAAUACAGAAACAGUAACAAUGAAGUCUCCUCUAGUAAUAAAUUAUAGGU